GACGUAGGGCGCGAGCGUUGUCCGGAUUUAUUGGCGUAAAGAGCUCGUAGGCGGCUUGUCGCGUCGACUGUGAAACCGCGGCUCAACCGCGGCCUGCAGCCGAUACGGCAGGCUAGAGUUCGGUAGGGGAGACUGGAAUUCCUGGUGUAGCGGUGAAAUGCGUAGAUAUCAGGAGGAACACCUGUGGUGUAGACAGCUUACUGGACCAUUCUGACGCUGAGACACGAAAGCGUGGGUAGCAAACAGG
rnacentral:rRNA from 1 species